UCGAAUUUUAAGUUUAAGUUGUGUGGUAUUUGGCCAAAUAGGGAAAUUAGAGGCGGUUUAUUUUCAUUUCCCUUGUCGGUUUUGACUUGCAAGCCCAAAAAGAAACAAAACCCAUCUUUAUCUCUCCUUGCCUCGUCAUUUCUAAAACCCCAAAGAAAAUCCCCAAAAUCUUCUCUCUCUCCCCGUGGUACUCCCAAAACCCCAAACCCAAGAUGGAACCCCUUCCUUGUUCUUUCGGUCCGCGAACCAAAACCCACAACCCCCAGCCAUUUUCUCUCGCCUGAUGCCCUCACCGGAGCUUUGAUGCUCGACGAACGUCGCUGCACGACUCUACUGCCUCGCCGGAGCCGCGUCGAACCACCGCAGCCCUGUAGUUGCCGCUGCUAUAGUUCCCUGCUUUCUCUCUCUUCUUUCGUUCUUCCUUGCUUCUCUUGUUGUUCUUGUUCGCUGCUGCUCGUGUCGCACCGCUAGCUUGCGCCGCCUCACCGCCCCUACUGCUGCUCAUCGGUGCUCCGCCGUUGUUCCUUGAAGCAUCGAAACCCUUCCCCCUCAACUCCUUUGUCCCCUGUUCUUCGCUGCUCUCAUGAGCAGAGUAUCUUAAAUGUUUCAGGUUGAAGCCGUGAGUUAAUCUUCUACAAGUUGAAGCGGAUACGAGAUGGUGCAGUAUUAUAUUUGUUAUUAAAGUGAGGACGUUCCACAUGUAAUAGUUAAAUCGUUUAAUUUCUAUAAUAUAUUUUCUUUAUUUAAGAA